UAUACAACAGCUUCCACGUGGAACUCCCACUGUGCCUUGCCCUCCUCUCCACCCAGGCCAUGGUUUUACUUCUUUCAGAAUUGGGAGACACCUGUGAUGUAGGUGUGGGGAGGAAAGCACAGGGUCAGCUUGUUCUGGGCCCAGCUUAAGUAUAUUCUAAUCAUCACCCACUCAGCAUUAGCUGAUGUUGGCUGUGUGGAAAACGGCGUUUCUUUGCAACAGCUUGUCUCAAAGUUGGUGGCCUUCAGUCAGGGCUUAUCUGUAUGACAACACCACUCCUGCCCUGAUCUUCCUAAUACCAUCACUGUAAUUGCCUUGACAUGAAAUAGCACCAACCCAGCGCUCGGGCUUUGAGGGUGAGAAGACCAGAACUGAGGGCUUCUAGAUGGCUGUGUUGCAAAUGUUACUCUUGAAUUGAAGCAUUUUGAAUUUGGGCCAUUCUAAUAGGUGAG